GCAGCAGUCGGGAAUAUUGCGCAAUGGAGGAAACUCUGACGCAGUGACGCCGCGUAUAGGAAGAAGGUUUUCGGAUUGUAAACUAUUGUCGUUAGGGAAGAUAAAAGACAGUACCUAAGGAGGAAGCUCCGGCUAACUACGUGCCAGCAGCCGCGGUAAUACGUAGGGAGCAAGCGUUAUCCGGAUUUAUUGGGUGUAAAGGGUGCGUAGACGGGAAAUUAAGUUAGUUGUGAAAUCCCUCGGCUCAACUGAGGAACUGCAACUAAAACUGAUUUGCUUGAGUGCAGGCGAGGUAAGUGGAAUUC
rnacentral:rRNA from 1 species